CCUACGGGGUGCAGCAGUGGGGAAUAUUGGACAAUGGGCGAAAGCCUGAUCCAGCCAUGCCGCGUGUGUGAAGAAGGCCUUCGGGUUGUAAAGCACUUUCAGUGGGGAAGAAAGCCUUGGGGCUAAUACCCUCGAGGAAGGACAUCACCCACAGAAGAAGCACCGGCUAACUCCGUGCCAGCAGCCGCGGUAAUACGGAGGGUGCGAGCGUUAAUCGGAAUUACUGGGCGUAAAGCGCGCGUAGGCGGUCUGAUAAGCCGGUUGUGAAAGCCCCGGGCUCAACCUGGGAACGGCAUCCGGAACUGUCAGGCUAGAGUGCAGGAGAGGAAGGUAGAAUUCCCGGUGUAGCGGUGAAAUGCGUAGAGAUCGGGAGGAAUACCAGUGGCGAAGACGGCCUUCUGGACUGACACUGACGCUGAGGUGCGAAAGCGUGGGUAGCAAACAGGAUUAGAUACCCGAGUAGUC
rnacentral:rRNA from 1 species